UUUUUAUGAGAGUUUGAUCCUGGCUCAGGACGAACGCUGGCGGCGUGCCUAAUACAUGCAAGUCGAACGCUUCUUUUUCCACCGGAGCUUGCUCCACCGGAAAAAGAGGAGUGGCGAACGGGUGAGUAACACGUGGGUAACCUGCCCAUCAGAAGGGGAUAACACUUGGAAACAGGUGCUAAUACCGUAUAACAAUCAAAACCGCAUGGUUUUGAUUUGAAAGGCGCUUUCGGGUGUCGCUGAUGGAUGGACCCGCGGUGCAUUAGCUAGUUGGUGAGGUAACGGCUCACCAAGGCCACGAUGCAUAGCCGACCUGAGAGGGUGAUCGGCCACAUUGGGACUGAGACACGGCCCAAACUCCUACGGGAGGCAGCARUAGGGAAUCUUCGGCAAUGGACGAAAGUCUGACCGAGCAACGCCGCGUGAGUGAAGAAGGUUUUCGGAUCGUAAAACUCUGUUGUUAGAGAAGAACAAGGAUGAGAGUAACUGUUCAUCCCUUGACGGUAUCUAACCAGAAAGCCACGGCUAACUACGUGCCAGCAGCCGCGGUAAUACGUAGGUGGCAAGCGUUGUCCGGAUUUAUUGGGCGUAAAGCGAGCGCAAGCGGUUUCUUAAGUCUGAUGUGAAAGCCCCCGGCUCAACCGGGGAGGGUCAUUGGAAACUGGGAGACUUGAGUGCAGAAGAGGAGAGUGGAAUUCCAUGUGUAGCGGUGAAAUGCGUAGAUAUAUGGAGGAACACCAGUGGCGAAGGCGGCUCUCUGGUCUGUAACUGACGCUGAGGCUCGAAAGCGUGGGGAGVAAACAGGAUUAGAUACCCUGGUAGUCCACGCCGUAAACGAUGAGUGCUAAGUGUUGGAG
rnacentral:rRNA from 1 species